rnacentral:lncRNA from 10 species
UGUGUCUGAGAGACUUUCCUCUUAACUUCCAGAGGGUCAAGAAGCUGUUGUGAGCAUGGCCAGUUUCUUGCUCAGCCAUCCUCACCCCUGGAUCACCGCUUUGGAAGGGAAGUCCCCAGCUCCGGUGUGUUCUGAGGCUGCUGGGGGCCAGUGCAGCUCUGCGGUGGCAUCAGAGGCAGGAGCUCUCCCAGCCCUUGCAGUGACCUGGUGGGAACCGAAACCGCUGAAUAAAACCUUUCCUGCUUUAGAAUGGGUGUUCUUUUCUGCACUGAACCGUGGCUAAGAGAGAAUUUGUUUGAUGUGGGUGAUAAAUAAACUUCCAUUUUAUUUGGGCCACUGUUAUUUUCAGCUUUCUGUCACUUGAAGCCAAAUAUAAUUCUAAUUCAUAAGUCAACAGAUCUCUAACCUGGAAAAUGAUUUUGCAAAUCUAGAAGAUGAAUUUUGCAAAGGAGACCUUUAAUUUUCUUUACAUGGGCUCUCUUUUUUUAAUCCAAGUAUAUAGGUGGAAGUUCAAUUCAAUGGCUUCAGUAGAAUAUUUGUGACUUGCUAAUAAUUUAACUUUGCAUAACUUCACAGGCAACCUUGAAAAUGGCCCAUACAAAAACUCUCAUUUUUUCUUAAUUUAGAUUUAUCCAACACAAUUUUUGAUUAUGUUUCUAUAAUCCCUAAUAUGCUUAACUCAGAAUUAACCAAAGUUUUUCAAACUGUAUUGACUCUAAAAACUAUUCUGGAAUAGAAUUUUUAAAAGCAUUUUCCAUUUGAGUCUAUGCCAGGGUUAUUGUAAUUUUCAUCUAAAUAUCUCAACAUUCUGUCCUCUAUAUGAUUUUUCAAACAAAUUUACAUAGCUGCUUGAAUCAGAUAACUAAGAGAAUUAUGAGCAUGUGGGUAAUUGAACAUUUUGAGCUUUGACCUGCUAGUUUGCUUUUUUGCUUGCUAUAGACUGAACUUCCAAAUUCUGGCUAAACAUCGUAUUAUUGUGUGAUGUAAGUCAAAAGGCAAAUCCAGGCAAAAUCCGGAAUAAGCAAAUAGGUCUCAUCUGCUGGAAGGCCACAGGGCGUGGGCUCUUCUCACAGUGGAAGAAUGGAGAAGCUCAUUUGGAUGAACAAUAUACAAACUAUUAUAUGCCUAGAAUUUAAGUGCUUGACCACUCAGGGCAGGGAUAUCAUUGGGAGACUGUGCUUGCUUAAAGGACCUUUUAAUUUUUUUUCUGUAUGUAUAAAUCUACUAAACUUAAUAUUCUGUCUAAUCUUAAUAUUCAUUUCAGAAACUUGAGGAGAAAUGGAAUUCUUUUUUGUUGUUGUUGUUUUUAUUCCAAUUUCUUUCAAUAUUCUGUAAUUUAGAACUGGGUUGGUCAUGAGGAAACUCCAGAUGGGUGAAUACUGAAAUAACAUUAAACCUGUUGGAUAUUUGUCAUUUACUCAUUAAAGUUAGAAUUCGCAGAGGAGAAAAUUGUGUGCCAGUUGGGGAAUAGUUCCAUAAAAAUAAAUCAUUAAAUAAAAUAUGACAGUAACUUUGCAUACAUAAUUUGGUGAUAUAGUGUUUAACCUGCAAAACAGACUGCAUGUUAGUCUCUUCAAAGGAGAAUAAGUUUAAAUACCGCAUUAUACAACACAAAAAAAUCUUUAAAUAUUUGUUCAACUGAAUUUCUCUAUGCUACCAACUCAAGGAAACUCACGUGAUGAAUGUGUGGUUAUUACUCUCAAACGAAUAUUUAAAUUGAAAGUAAAGACUGCGGGUUCUCUUCUCUCUUCUCAGGUCUUAUCCUAAGUCCAUAACAAAAUGAGAAAUAAGCACAUACUCUGAUUUUUCUGUCCUGCAUAUUUUCCCAAUAGGGCACUAAGGCAAAAACAGAACUUUAAGGUCA